UUGUUUUCAUCAAGCACUUUAUCAGACUUUUAAGAAGGUGUCGAAGGCAUUGAAAGAAUUGACUUUUCAAAAUCAUCUCUUCUUUUUCUCAAGAAGAAAACAGUGGAAAAACAAAUUCUCCUCAUUCAGUGAAUCCCCAGUUUGGGGUCUGGGGAGCGUAGAGACAUUGUGAAAUCAAAUCUUGUGUUACAUUUUUCUCCUGGCUCACUCUUUUUGAGAAGGUUUAUGGGCUAUAUGGCUGGUGAGACACGAUCCCCUCCUAAGAAAAUGUAGGUGCUCAGACAGGUAACCUCUGCUGCUACUGUUUUUAUUUGUUUGUUUGUUUGUUUAAUUUCAUUUAAAAUUUGUUUUUGUUGUACUAGGAUAUUUUUAAAUGUAAUAUAUUGCAGGAUUUAUAACCAGGUUCACUGCUUUCUUUCUUUCUUUUUUUUUUUUUUUUCUUUAAAAAAAAAAAAAAAACAACAAAGUUUCAUUUAAGAUACAUUUAGGCGCCUUUGAAGCUUGGAUUUUGGAAUGUUUCAGUAGUGGCCAGAAAUCUGCUGUUGAAUCUUCUAGUCUUCCAGGUUUAAUUUGAAAUGUUUUUAGUUUUGUUUUGGAUUUUUGUGUGGUAUUUUAUUUCCUUUAUAUCAGUGCCCUUUUGCCAUGCUGUUUUGGGGUGGCUGCCUAACUCUAGUGAAAAUUCUUUCUAUAUUAACGGAAGUUUGGUGUUUUAAAUUCCUUAAUGUUUUGCAUUUUUUAAAAUUGUUUUUAAAGAAAUAUUCUAACUGCUUGCACUGUUACUGUUCUUUGCCAGCCUUUUCAGGAGCCAAAAAAACAAAAACAAACAAACAAAAAAAUACCCAGAGAAAAAACUUUCCUUCUUCCCCCUUCCUGAUGAUGAGUGAGAAGUAUUGAGAACUUUCGGGGUCAGUGCCCUUCUAAACUCCCCUUCCCCCAAUAAUGCAGCUGUAUAAUGAAUGGUAAAUGCAGCGGUUUGGAUUCAGGCACAGCCCCAGCCUGCUUGCAGCAGAGAGAUAAACUGGUAGGUGGCAGCAGAAGAAGGAAUUCUUCAGAUUGACGGCUACUGAAAGAAUCUACAUAGAAGAGAUAGAGCAUAACAUACCAAGUGAAGGAAAGGGGGCAAAAAAUGGAAACAGGACUAAAAUGUUUGGAUUUUGACUCUAAAUGGUUCUUUUGAAGUAACCAGUGAUGCUUUUUGCUUAUUACUUCAUUCACAGAAUGGACGAAGAUAGAUUUGACUGUAUGUUUUUUGAAAUGGAGUAUAGAAAUACCCAGAACAAGGAAGCAGUAGCUCUAACCUGUUUGAUUCGAUGUGUUUUCUAAAAUAAAAACACCAGAACUGGGAAUGAAAUAGUAUGGAGUGUGAUUUGUUCUUUUGGCAGUUAUUCCUGCCCACUCCAUCUUAUAUGAAUUCAC